GCGCCCCGGACGCGCGGCUGCACCGGGAAGCCCAGGCCAAGCGAUUUCGGGAGAUUGCCACAAUUUGGACUCACAAGCAAGAUUCACUCCAAGCUUUCAGAGGGCAUGAGGUACCUUUCAGAUGGUUGCUGGCUGCUCAGAAAACUGCUGUAGGGAAACUGCAAGUAGUACCAGGAGGUAGGCCGGGCUCUGGUGCCUCUGGGCUGUUGCCUGGAAGUUGCUUACUUUGCUCUUUGCCUGUGUGUCCUUAUUUGAUUGAGUGAGUGGUUGGCAGUAAUGGUUGAUCCCGAGGGGUUGCUUCUGUUCUAUUUCCUCCUCCUUACAGUACUUGGAGAGGAAAGGGAAGAACUGGUGCUAGUUUAAAGCUUUAGCUUCUCUAGGCCUCCAUGUUGUUGAACUCCU
ensembl:lncRNA